CGCUGCGGGCCCCGCGAUGCCUCCGGGCGCGGUGCGGGUGCUGCUGCUGGGGCUGCGGCCCUACCCGCAGGCGCUGCGGGUGCAGGAGCGCUGCGUGGCGGCGGCGCGGGCGGCCGCGGCCGAGAGCCUGGUGCUGAGCGAGCCGGCGGGGCCCGUGUACGCCUGGGGGCUGCGGGGGGCGCCGGGGCCGGCGGCGGCCGCGGGGCUGCGGGCGCGGGGAGCGGCGCUGGUGGCGGCGCGGCGCGGGGGCCACGUCACGUUCCACGGGCCCGGGCAGCUCCUGGCCUUCCCCGUGCUCGACCUGCGCCGCCGCCGCCUCCCGCUGCGCCGCUACGUGGGGGCCCUGGAGGAGCUGGGCCUGAGGCUCUGCCGCCGCCUCGGCCUCGGCGCAGCCCGCGCCCUCCCGCCGCCCUUCACCGGCGUCUGGCUCGGGGAGAGCAAGGUCUGCGCCAUCGGGGUGCACUGCAGGAGCCACAUCACAUCGCAUGGGCUGGCGCUGAACUGCUGCACCGACCUCAGCUGGUUCGAGCACAUUGUGCCCUGCGGGCUGGAGGGGAAAGGGGUCACCUCACUGAGCCGAGAGCUGGGCCGGCACGUCCCGGUGGAGCACGUCCUCGAGCCCUUCCUCGACUCCUUCCGGGAGGUCUUUGACUGCACCUUGGUCUUCUCGGAGGAGCCCGGGGACUAAGAGAGCCGUGAUGGGAGCCCUGGUGAACUCCAGUGUCCUGGUGUCCUGGUGUGAACCCUUGGGGUGGUGGUGAUGGAGCCACCUGGGGUGGUGGUGAUGGAGCCACCUGGGGCUUUACUGCAAAGUGCCUUUGCCUGCGGUGGUACAGAGAGGGUCAGGCUGUUGCUUAAACACCCAAACCCCCAUCAGGGCUGCUGUCCACAGCUCCAUGGGUCGAGACCUCCAUGGGUACCACAUCCCCGCUGCGCACUUGGGAGAUGCUCAAAUAGGUGCUUUUGUGGGUUUAUCUCUGCCUGUUUUCUCCUAAAUAUCCCAGAUUUGGGUGAGCACUCACACCCCCAAUGGAUGACAAGAAGGGGGUCGAGCAUCCUUCCCUCGCUGCUGCGUAAAGAGGCAGAUUUUCUAUAAAGAGAGUUGCUGGGAACUUCA